CUCUCUUAUAUGUACCGUCGCAGUGGCGACGGCUCUACCCGAGGCUGCGGCUCGGGAUGGUUCGGUGAGGCCAGCUGCUGCAGCAGCUCGUGGCGGUACCAAAGUACCGCGCCUACCAGCCGCACCGGCAGAUCGGGGUAGAAGAAGGGCGCAACAGAGAGGCUGAGGCUCGGCGGCCGAUCACCCCACCAUCUGUUACGUUUCGGGCCAUGAUGCCUCCAUAAAGAGUGCACCUUUCUGGAAAGACACUGCCGGUACUCGCCCUCUUUCCCAGCACGACACUAGGAACUACCCGAAUCGCCCAUGCGCGCGGGACCGCUUCACGACCGAGAGUACCCAGGAAGCCCGACACCGUUUUGAUGAGAUGAACUAUGGAACCGACCUGCUGAACCUGGGUUGUACUUUCUCUCACCUCUGUAGUACUAGUUGCCAACGGCUGUCUUCUAACGUAGGUCUUGGAGACGUAUACACUGGGUUCUUCUGCACGACUACCACUGCGACUGCCACCGCCUCCGCCACGUGAUGAGCCGCCUCGAAGUCGACGGCCUGAGGAACUGCGCCCGACUCUUCGCGAGCACCCGGCUGCUACAAUAGUUCGUCUACCCCGAGCGGCGCCACCGGCCUUGGGCCUAGCCGCCCGCGCAAAGGUUCCCGUAGUCGCCACCGGUCGCCUUCGCUCACUCGUAGACGUAUCUCGACGACCGCAGCGGCGGCGAGUAGAAGGAGCUGCUCGGCUGGUCGCCCGAACUGUCGCGGCGCAGCAUGGUGCAGUACUCGGCGUAGCGGCCCUAGCGGUUUUCCUUACCCUGCUGCCAGCAGCGUCGGUAGGUGGUCGGUUCGUGCCUCCACAAGCUCGAGAAGGUACCGGAGACGGACGACCGGUUGCCCUUCUGCCAAAUAAAGCCCGGUCGAAGGUUUCGUUACCUCAAGAAACUACGAUUACCGAAGGGUACGGGUAACUCCUACUUGGGAAGCCUAGUGAAGAAUUCCUACUAUUUGUAUCUGAAACUCCUUAAACCCCUUCUUAGAUGACAAUUACGCGGCGUACGACGUUUUCAUUAGGUCUGAAACCAACCAAGAAAACCCAGACAACGAUAGAAUCUGUGACUUUACCUUCCUUCCGUUUAUUUAGUCCAAAGAAGAAAUAGAUCUGAUUCUACUACGUAAUCCAACUCAAACUUCAUAUAUACAGAGUGAGUAUACGAAGUACAAAUAUACCAAAUACUAGGACGUUCCGCUGAUACAUCAAGUUGUUUCCGUUCGAUGUAAGAACUGUUUUAAUCAACAGGAUUGGUUUUCUAGCUACUAUUUGUACGUGUCUCUGUAUCCGAUAAUAACCAACGCGAAACCAUAGAUGUACCGUGAAAAAGAUUGGUAACCCUGUUAAAAGAAGUUACAACCAGUGUUAAUAAGUAGUUAGGUUCGUGCUCGUAGGUACGAAUACAUGUGUAGGUGGAAAUACUGUUACUACCGUUAGCCACGAAAAGGUAGUAAACAGCUCCUAUACUUCCAUAAACUCUUUCUUUCCUCCUCAGCUGUGAUGCCCCAGUGACUUAAACAGUAUCGGUUGUGUGAAAGUAGUUGACAUAUGAACCCGGAGUAGACACACGAUGGACGAUAUUAACGAAUAAUGGAUUGACCCGAAGUUUCUCCUUAUCCUGUGAAGAAGAAACAACGUUGUGAUACCCGAACGUGUUACAACCAACUUCCAAACUACUACUAACAACGUCGGUAGCAUGGACUAAAAGAGUACCCAUAUUAGUGUCCUAGACCUCAUGUUCCCAACGAUUACGAUUUGCGGCCAAAGAAGUCCGAAGGUUUACUGGAGGGUUUUGGUUAUACCUUCAUGGGUUGAAUGAUGUAUAGGAUGGUGUUUAUAUGUUGAGUUCCUGACAUGUUUUUACUUAAGAACCCGAACCACAAGGGUUUAAAUCGACCACAGCUGCCUCAGUAGUGGCCAGUUAUAUAGGACUUCUUGUUGAAAGUUCACCUCAAUCCGAUGAGCUUCACCCAACUAGAACGCUAUAAUGAACCUUACCAGUAAUAGAUGUCCCAUUAAAAGGACCAAUAAUAUUUCCAAAAGCUACACCGUUUUGGUUACUAUUUUAGGAAGUACUAUUUUCACAUUGAUAAUGAUAUACAUACAUCAAAAUUUAUUCCAUUGUUCUGUACAAAAUAAACUUAGUAUAUACAUACAUCAAACGUAUCUAUUUUCGUAUCUUUAACUCUAUCAUCAUAAGGAACAUACAAAUAAAAGAGAACUUAUUUA
rnacentral:rRNA from 1 species